CAACUACUCCCUCUGUCCCAAAUUUCUUGUCUUAGAUUUGUCUAGAUACGGAUGUAUCUAAUACUAAAAUUUGACUUGAUACAUCCGUAUCUAGACAAAUCUAAGACUAGAAUUUUGGGACGGAGGGAGUAAUUU
rnacentral:pre_miRNA from 1 species